rnacentral:rRNA from 1 species
ACUCCUACGGGAGGCAGCAGUGGGGAAUAUUGCACAAUGGGCGCAAGCCUGAUGCAGCGACGCCGCGUGCGGGAUGGAGGCCUUCGGGUUGUAAACCGCUUUUGUUUGGGAGCAAGCCCUUCGGGGUGAGUUACCUUUCGAAUAAG